rnacentral:rRNA from 1 species
GACGAACGCUGGCGGCGUGCUUAAUACAUGCAAGUCGAACGGGGCCCAUCCGGUGGCAACACCGGAGAAGGUCCAGUGGCGAACGGGUGCGUAACACGUGAGCAACCUAUCCCGAAGACCGGGAUAACACCGGGAAACCGGUGCUAAUACUGGAUGCCCCCACCGGGUCGCAUGGCCUGGUGAGGAAAGGAAUCUUGCUUCGGGAGGGGCUCGCGGCCUAUCAGCUUGUUGGUGGGGUAACGGCUCACCAAGGCCGCGACGGGUAGCUGGUCUGAGAGGACGACCAGCCACACUGGGACUGAGACACGGCCCAGACUCCUACGGGAGGCAGCAGUAGGGAAUCUUGCGCAAUGGGCGAAAGCCUGACGCAGCAACGCCGCGUGGGGGAUGAAGGCCUUCGGGUUGUAAACCCCUUUCAGCAGGGACGAAACUGACGGUACCUGCAGAAGAAGCCCCGGCCAACUACGUGCCAGCAGCCGCGGUAAAAC